rnacentral:rRNA from 1 species
CUACGGGUGGCUCCAGUGGGGAAUCUUAGACAAUGGGGGAAACCCUGAUCUAGCCAUGCCGCGUGAGUGACGAAGGCCUUAGGGUCGUAAAGCUCUUUCGCUGGGGAAGAUAAUGACUGUACCCAGUAAAGAAACCCCGGCUAACUCCGUGCCAGCAGCCGCGGUAAUACGGAGGGGGUUAGCGUUGUUCGGAAUUACUGGGCGUAAAGCGCGCGUAGGCGGACUGGAAAGUUGGGGGUGAAAUCCCGGGGCUCAACCCCGGAACGGCCUCCAAAACUAUCAGUCUAGAGUUCGAGAGAGGUGAGUGGAAUUCCGAGUGUAGAGGUGAUAUUCGUAGAUAUUCGGAGGAACACCAGUGGCGAAGGCGGCUCACUGGCUCGAUACUGACGCUGAGGUGCGAAAGCGUGGGGAGCAAACAGGAUUAGAUACCCCAGUAGUC